GGGCAGUGCCAUAUGCCUUCAAGCCUGUGUGGCCCACAGGAGAGCGGCACGGCGUCCACCAGGACAGGUCUCCGAGUUCCUGCUGAACCACUCAAUGGCUUAAAAUACAACCAGCCAGCUGCUGGGGGAGGGCUGAAACCCUACUCUCCCCGACCCCGCACCAGACCAGGGCCUGGCGGGGAGCACUGGCCAGGCUGCUGGGAGAGGAAGCCAGGAGGCAGGCGGGGGCAGCUGGGAGAGGGGCCGCGGCAGCCGCAACAGCAGCGCCCAAGCCGGGGUGCAGCCCCAAGAAGAGCUGCCUGCACCACGCACAGGAAGCUGCUGUCGAGCCAGGAAGCCGGCAGAGGGACAGAGACCCUGAGCUCUGCGGACCCGCUGACCCGAGGAGCAGCUCCCAGCCGACCGCCCACAGCUGACCACCAGCCGCCCCUGGGCUGAGUGAGCAGGCAGACAGAGGUUCAAAAGAGGAACCCACAUGAGAAGAACUUUAUUCUACAAGCCUAAGAUGAAUGGGGCAUCUACCUGUUCUUGACACCAUGUCAAAAAUGAGGACUUCUAGAUCAAAGGUUCCAAAGGAUUCUGGGCAAAUUACCAAGUAUAGUAAAGGUAGUAGGUAGAGAUAGGAACUAUGACUCUGGAGUCCCGAUUUCUUCUCUCUGUCAUGCACGUACUAGCUGGUGGUCUUUGGACAAGUCACUUCUGAGACUUUCUUCAUCUACGCAUGUGGGGCAAGUAAUAAUCUCCUACCUGAAACGACUUUGAGGAUGAGAACAAUGUAACAGAAUCUCACGAGCACAAGAGAACUGGCCGUGGACCUACAUCUCCUUCACUGCCUAGACUCUCGGGGACCGUGCCGGGUGAGGAAUGGGGUCCAAGGUCAUACAGGAGAGAACUGAUUGCAGAGCCCCUUCCUAAACCCCAGGCGGUAGCAUGGUGCAAGGUUUGUGCAAGACUCCCACGGAUGGAAAGAAAAGGGUGGCUCCUGCUUCGACUACUGCGGACAGUUUUCCACCUGCGCGCAAGACAGCACACAGCUCCUCGCACGCUCGCGACCGCCGCGCGAGACUGCGGCUCCUCCGCCGCCCCGCCCCUCCCUGCCGCGCGCGCCCCUCCGCCAAUCAGUGAGGAGGGAGCCCACCUCGCCCCGCCUCUCGGGGACGGUCCGAGAGAAGACUAAGACACUCGCACCACAGGUAUGACCAAUCAGCUUGCGGGACCCACUGAGGCGGGGCGGAGCAAGGGCAGGAGUGGCUAAAAGAAGGGGCUCGGCCUCCCACCAAUCAAAAGAGAGCGAGACGGCGCCGCGCGCACCCUUGACCCGCCCCUUGGUGGCGUAGCUGUGGAAACCAAGGGAAGCGACGGUUACUGUAAAGCUGGGGCGGGAGAAGUUGAGUGACAGGGAGGGCAGCGUCCUCAUGGCGGACGGAGCGGCUAGGUGAAUUCCAAGGUGGGUGGUCCCGGGGUUCUGGCGAGCAUCGAGAGAGGGCCGGGGAGCGAGGGCGCGGGCAGGAGAGCCUAGGUGGCAAGGCCGCUGUGGUGAGGGAAUUCCAUCUGUCAUGACUGGGAGGAAGGAAAGGAGAAAUGGGGUGGCUUAAAUCUGCCUAGAGUCCCUCAGCCUGCAACUUGAACCCACUGUGGGGUUGUCUUCUUUGCCCUUUUCAAUAAUAGCCCCUGACCCACCCUCCUCGGUCCUGUAGGCAGGAAGCCCACAAUUGUCUCUACCUGCACAGUUGUCCGGUAUGGUCACUACUGGUCACGUUGGCUACUGAGCCCCUGAAAAGUGGCCUGCCCAAACUGUCGAUGUUAAAAUGCAGAUUUCAGAAAUAUAAGACAAAAAGGUGAAUGUAAAGAAAAAUCUUGCUAAUGGUUGUUUUGUUUCGUUUCAUUUAGUGAAAGGAUGAUUUUUAUUUCCAUCUUGAAUGAUUACCAUACCAUUAUUUAAAUAUGUCUGAAAAAAAUCCUGAAAUAAUUUAAACUGAAGGCAUAGAACAAACAAAAGUAUUUAACUGUAAAAGCUUAAAUGAGAAAAAUGCAAUGUUUCCUCAGUAGCAAUAAACUAUGAAUAAGCUUCCAUCACUAAACCAUAAUGUUUUAUGAUGAUUAUACAUUGAAAUGACAUUAUUUUUGCUGUAGUGGAUUAAAAUAAAUUAGUAACCCAUUAUGUCCCAUUGUCCUAUAUAAAAUUGAAAACUUGGGACUUAAUGGAUUAAAAUUAAAUUCCCUUCUUUCUUUUUAUUAAAGCUAGCUUCCUCUUCCCAACUGAGAACUGAACCCAGGGACACAUUACCACUGAUUACAUUCCCAGCCCUUUUAAUUUUUUGUUUUGAACCAGAAUCUUGCUAAACUUCCCAGCCUCAAAUUUGCAGUCCUCCUGCCUCAGCCUCCCUAGUUGCUGAGAUUGCAGACAUGAACCACUGCACCCAAUUCUUUAACUCUUUUUAUUUUAUUCAUGUGCCUAUUCUAACUCUUUUUUCUUCUUCUUCUUCUUAUUUUUGUGCUGCUGAGAUUGA